rnacentral:lncRNA from 1 species
UAAAGAUUGUAAACGCGAUGGUGUCAGUGAGAAAGAUGUGUCUUCUUCUGUGUCUACGACGGAAAAAAAUGUGUCGUCUGAGAUACCUUCUGCUGUUCCUAUUGUACACUCUAGUCAUCAGAAACCCUACUGAAGAGGCCUUGACAGGCGAAAUGCAUUUGGGUCUACGGACUCGGGACUUAUUAAGCCUCCAAAGGUCAGAAACGAAUGGAAAACUAGUAGUUUUCCGUGUACUAAAGAUUAGUACAGUACGGUAAUAAUAAUAAAAAAAUAGAUUAUCUGACUCCAUCGAUUCUUUUUAGAAUAUUUUUA